rnacentral:rRNA from 1 species
GACGUAGGGGGCAAGCGUUGUUCGGAAUUACUGGGCGUAAAGCGUGCGCAGGCGGCUUCUCAAGUCAGGGGUGAAAGCCCAGAGCUCAACUCUGGAAUUGCCUUUGAGACUGAGUGGCUUGAGUACGAGAGAGGUGAGUGGAAUUCCCAGUGUAGAGGUGAAAUUCGUAGAUAUUGGGAAGAACACCGGUGGCGAAGGCGGCUCACUGGCUCGUAACUGACGCUCAUGCACGACAGCGUGGGGAUCAAACAGG